rnacentral:lncRNA from 1 species
AUUGGGAUGAAAGGUGGAAUUACAGUAAAUAUAAUGCUGUUUAACAUUAAAUGGAAUGUGUUGUACUUGCGACAGUUGUUCAUUUCAACAUUAAUUAUUAAGGGAACUUGACAACUCAUUUUUAAUUCGCAACUGAAGACAAAAUUUCUUAAGAUGUAAAUACAACAAAGAAGCUCAGAAAGUUGGUGCUUUUUAUUCCCUUUUAUUAUUCUGUGAUUUUUACCUUGAUAAAAUCUAUAAGCAAAUUAGAAUGGAAUGUACCUAAAUUGUACAAAUCAGGCUGUAUUAUUCCAUUCUCAUAGUGCUAUAAAGAACUGCCUGAGAUUGGGUAAUUUAUAAAGGAAAGAGCUUUAAUGGACUGACAGUUCAGCAUGGGUAGGGAGGCCUCAGGAAACUUACAAUCAUGGCAGAAGGUGAAGGGAAGAAGGCACCUUCUCCACAAGGCAGCAGGAAGAAGUGCAGAGUGAAGUGGGAAGAACCGCUAAAAAAACCAUCAGAUCUCAUGAGACCUCACUUACAAUCAUGAAAGCAACAUGGGGGAACCACCCUCUUGAUUCAAUUACCUCCACCUGGUCUCUCCCUUGACAUGUGGGGAUUAUGGGGAUUAUAGGAAUUACAAUUCAAGAUGACAUUUGGGUGGGGACACAAAGCCUAACCAUAUCAUAAGCAUAGUUGUUGGUGAACUGAUAUUAUGCCACUGGACAGAGAGAUUAAGAAGUAAGUCAGGUUAUAUUGGAAAUUGUUUCACAUAUUCCUCAUUAUUUUGAUUUGAAGAUUUUCUUGGAGAUAUACAAUUUAAAUAGCAUUUGAAGCAAACUUUGUAUUUUAAAUCAAUUUUCUUCUAAGACGAGGGUAAGCAUGUUUAUUAUUUAUCUUUUAAUAAGAAAUGAACAGCAGAUGAUAAUGUGAUCAAAUAUGCAUUGCCUGGGUUUAUAUGUGAAAUUGAUAAAUAUUCAAAUUGUAUUUAAAAUCUACUGUCAAUUACAAUGUGCAUGCUCUUUGUUGAGUAAAAUUUUGGAGGAAAUUUUUGAUGACCAAGUGAUAUUGUAUAAAUGUACUUAAAUAAAAAGAGAAAAAAAUGAUACAGUGAAGAAAUUUAUGGUGGGGG